rnacentral:tRNA from 1 species
GACACUAUGGCCGAGUGGUUAAGGCGACAGAUUCGAAUUAAGUGAUAUCUGUUUCGGUUUCCGAGCGCAGGUUCAAAUCCUGCUGGUGUCG